CCUACGGGUGGCUGCAGUGGGGAAUAUUGCACAAUGGGGGGAACCCUGAUGCAGCGACGCCGCGUGGGUGAAGGAGUAUUUCGGUAUGUAAAGCCCUAUCAGCAGGGAAGAACAAUGACGGUACCGGACUAAGAAGCACCGGCUAAAUACGUGCCAGCAGCCGCGGUAAUACGUAUGGUGCAAGCGUUAUCCGGAUUUACUGGGUGUAAAGGGAGCGCAGGCGGCGCGUUAAGCCUGGUGUGAAAGCCCGCGGCCCAACCGCGGGACUGCAUUGGGAACUGGCGCGCUGGAGUGCCGGAGGGGUAGGCGGAAUGCCUGGUGUAGCGGUGAAAUGCGUAGAUAUCACGAAGAACUCCGAUUGCGAAGGCAGCUCACUGGACUGCAACUGACACUGAGGCUCGAAAGUGUGGGUAUCAAACAGGAUUAGAUACCCCAGUAGUC
rnacentral:rRNA from 1 species